rnacentral:rRNA from 1 species
AGAAUCAACGCUGGCGGCGUGCCUAACACAUGCAAGUCGAACGAGAAAGUGGAGCAAUCCAUGAGUAAAGUGGCGCACGGGUGAGUAACACGUGACUAACCUACCCUCGAGUGGGGAAUAACCUAGGGAAACCUGGGCUAAUACCGCAUAAUACCUACGGGUCAAAGGAGCAAUUCGCUUGAGCGAGGGGGUCGCGGCCGAUUAGUUAGUUGGCGGGGUAAUGGCCCACCAAGACGAUGAUCGGUAUCCGGCCUGAGAGGGCGGACGGACACACUGGAACUGAAACACGGUCCAGACUCCUACGGGAGGCAGCAGUGGGGAAUUUUGCGCAAUGGGGGAAACCCUGACGCAGCAACGCCGCGUGGAGGAUGAAGUCCCUUGGGACGUAAACUCCUUUCGAUCGGGACGAUUAUGACGGUACCGGAAGAAGAAGCCCCGGCUAACUUCGCGCCAGCAGCCGC